rnacentral:misc_RNA from 1 species
GCUUUCAAUUGGUCAUCAUGGUCGCUAAUUCGUCGUAGUACUUAUACAACUUCCAACCACGAAAGGCAGAGGUUACAUGGCAUCGCACAAUUCGUUUACAGAUCCAUGUCUCUACCGGAACAAUAAGAAGAGGAGUCGAUCUUCGGAGUGACUCGUUGAUGUCCUGAUUUGGUUCCAUGGCCCAAUGCUCAUCUACCAGAAAGAAAUAAAGAUAUCACAUGUACAAUCAAAAUCAC